rnacentral:rRNA from 1 species
GACGAACGCUGGCGGCGUGCUUAACACAUGCAAGUCGAGCGGUAAGGCCCUUUCGGGGGUACACGAGCGGCGAACGGGUGAGUAACACGUGGGUGACCUGCCCUCAGUCUCUGGGAUAAGCCCGGGAAACUGGGUCUAAUACCGGAUAUGACUCCAUGACGCAUGUUGUGGGGUGGAAAGCCUUGUGCGGCUAGGGAUGGGCCCGCGGCCUAUCAGCUUGUUGGUGGGGUGAUGGCCUACCAAGGCGACGACGGGUAGCCGGCCUGAGAGGGCGACCGGCCACACUGGGACUGAGACACGGCCCAGACUCCUACGGGAGGCAGCAGUGGGGAAUCUUGCGCAAUGGGCGAAAGCCUGACGCAGCGACGCCGCGUGAGGGAUGACGGCCUCGGUGUAA